rnacentral:rRNA from 1 species
UACAGAGGUCUCAAGCGUUGUUCGGAUUCAUUGGGCGUAAAGGGUGCGUAGGUGGCGCUGUAAGUCGGGUGUGAAAUUUCGGAGCUUAACUCCGAAACUGCAUUCGAUACUGCGGUGCUUGAGGACUGGAGAGGAGACUGGAAUUCAUGGUGUAGCAGUGAAAAUGCGCAGAUAUCAGGAGGAACACCGGUGGCGAAGGCGGGUCUCUGGGCCGAUACUGACGCUGAGGAGCGAAAGCGUGGGUAGCAAACAGG